rnacentral:misc_RNA from 1 species
GCAGCAGGCGGAAUCCUAUGUGUUCCUGCUCGAUGCCCAUCACCCCGCGCCGCCCUUCAUCAUCGUCUGCGACGUCGGCUAGUGCCUGGAACUCUAUGCGGAUUUCACCGACACGGGCCGCGCCUACAGCCACUUCCCGGAUCGCAACGGCUAUCGCGUCUAUCUUGAGGAUCUGCGCAGCCCCGAGAACCGCAAUCUCCUGAAACGGUUCUGGGAGGAGCCCCACUCCCUCGACCGGUCGAAGGAAGCAGCGCGCGUCACCCGCGACAUCGCCAAGCGACUGGCGCAAGUGAGCAAGGCCCUGGAGGAGCG